UAUAUUGAUGUGUAAGAUGGACAUUAGUUUUUGAUACUUUAAUUCUAUCUUAUAUAAUGAAU
rnacentral:tRNA from 1 species